rnacentral:rRNA from 1 species
GACGAACGCUGGCGGCGUGCUUAACACAUGCAAGUCGAACGGAAAGGCCCUGCUUUUGUGGGGUGCUCGAGUGGCGAACGGGUGAGUAACACGUGAGUAACCUGCCCUUGACUUUGGGAUAACUUCAGGAAACUGGGGCUAAUACCGGAUAGGAGCUCCUGCUGCAUGGUGGGGGUUGGAAAGUUUCGGCGGUUGGGGAUGGACUCGCGGCUUAUCAGCUUGUUGGUGGGGUAGUGGCUUACCAAGGCUUCGACGGGUAGCCGGCCUGAGAGGGUGACCGGCCACAUUGGGACUGAGAUACGGCCCGGACUCCUACGGGAGGCAGCGGUGGGGAAUAUUGCACAAUGGGCGGAAGCCUGAUGCAGCAACGCGGCGUGCGGGAUGAGGGCCUUCGGGUUGUAACCCGCUUUCGCCUGUGACGAAGCGUGAGGGACGGUAAUGGGUAAAGAAGCACCGGCUAACUACGU